rnacentral:rRNA from 1 species
UACGGAGGGGGCGAGCGUUGUUCGGAAUUACUGGGCGUAAAGGGCGCGUAGGCGGCCUUCUAAGUCGAACGUGAAAUCCCCGGGCUCAACCCGGGAACUGCGUCCGAUACUGGCAGGCUUGAAUUCGGGAGAGGGAUGCGGAAUUCCCGGUGUAGCGGUGAAAUGCGUAGAUAUCUGGAGGAAUACCGGUGGCGAAGGCGGCAUCCUGGACCAUAACUGACGCUGAGGCGCGAAAGCUAGGGGAGCAAACGGG